ACGGCUCAGUAACACGUGGACAACCUGCCCUUAGGACGGGGAUAAACCCGGGAAACUGGGUAUAAUACCCGAUAGGUCUCGAUUGCUGGAAUGCAUCGAGAUUUAAAGCUCCGGCGCCUAAGGAUGGGUCUGCGGCCUAUCAGGUAGUAGUGGGUGUAGCGUACCUACUAGCCUACGACGGGUACGGGUUGUGAGAGCAAGAGCCCGGAGAUGGAUUCUGAGACACGAAUCCAGGCCCUACGGGGUGCAGCAGGCGCGAAAACUUUACAAUGCUGGCAACAGCGAUAAGGGAACCUCGAGUGCCAGGUUACAAAUCUGGCUGUCGAGAUGCCUAAAAAGCAUUUCAUAGCAAGGGCCGGGCAAGACCGGUGCCAGCCGCCGCGGUAACACCGGCGGCUCGAGUGGUAACCGUUAUUAUUGGGUCUAAAGGGUCUGUAGCCGGCCGGAUAAGUCUCUUGAGAAAUCUGGCAGCUUAACUGUCAGGCUUUCAGGAGAUACUGUCUGGCUCGAGGCCGGGAGAGGUGAGAGGUACUUCAGGGGUAGGGGUGAAAUCUUGUAAUCCUUGAAGGACCACCAGUGGCGAAGGCGUCUCACCAGAACGGACCUGACGGCAAGGGACGAAAGCUAGGGGCACGAACCGGGUUAGAUACCCGGGUAGUCCUAGCCGUAAACGGUACUCGCUAGGUGUCGGCCACGGUGCGACCGUUGUCGGUGCCGUAGGGAAGCCGUGAAGCGAGCCACCUGGGAAGUACGGCCGCAAGGCUGAAACUUAAAGGAAUUGGCGGGGGAGCAC
rnacentral:rRNA from 1 species